AGUGAAUAUAAGGAACCACGUCACAUAUUUAUGACCACAUACAUAUGUUUCAGUGUUCUAUUCCACAUCACCGAAAUAAAACAGAAUUCUAACCUCACUCACAUACUCUAAUACUAAACAUUAUCCCAAAUCUAACCCAUAUAUACUAAACAUUAUCCAAAUCCCACCCCAACCCCUUAAUACUAAACCCUAAACCUUAAUCAAUAAACCUUAAACUCAAAUACAUAACUCUAAACCUAAAUAUAAAUUCUAAACCCAAAUAUAAAUUCUAAACCCAAAUAGAAUGAAACAAAAUAAAUAAUAUGGUAUAUAUUGGUAAAAUUAUGAAAUGUCUAUAAUUUCGUAGAAGAAGUUGAUGUUGAUCCCAACUAUACCUCCUCAUCUUCUAAAUACUAAACCCUAAACUAUAUUCACUAAUCCCUAAACUCAAAUAUAAACCAUAAACCCAAAUAGAAUGUAACAAAAUAAAUAGCAUGGUAUAUAUUGGUGAAAUUAUGAAAUAUCUAUGAUUUCAUGGAAAAGGUUAAUGUGACCCAACUGUACCCAACUAUACCCUAAACUUUAAUCCCUAAACCCUAAAUAUAAACCCUACACGGAAAUAUAAACCCUAAUCCAAUGUCAACCCCAAUCUUUCAUAAACUAAACCCAAAUGGAACAAAAUGAUGAAAUAUCUAUGAUUUCAUGGAAGAAGUUAAUGCUGAUCCCCCAACCAUAUCCCCUCACCUUCUAAAUACUAAACCCUAACUUAUAUUCACUAAACCCUAAACCAAAAUAUAAACCCUAAACCCAAAUAUAAAUCCUAAACCCAAAUAUCAAAGUC
rnacentral:lncRNA from 1 species